GGAAAGAGUUCGACAAAGAUUCACAGGCCUCUGCAAUCAAAUUUUCUUUAUCUGGCAACAGGAAUCCAACAUAUGCCGGAGUGUUCAAAUCCGACAAAUCCGGCUCUUGAUCAUAGAUGGUCUUAUGAUCGGGACCAUCAAGCAAUUCUUCAUCAACUUUCAUCCACAACCCAAAAACACAUGGAAACACAGGGUAAUAAGUUAUAAAAAUAAAACGUUAUACACCACACAACAAAAUCAACAGUGAUCAUUAUAUCACUGUCAUCCCAAUA